rnacentral:lncRNA from 1 species
CCUAAUUUCUACUCGGGUGGAAUAUUUAUUAAGGUCUGUCAUAUUUCCUACCUACACCCCCCGCCCCACACAUUCAAUGUCCAUUUCUAAAUCCAGUCAGUUGCUUUUUGUUGGAGAUUGAGGCUAAAAACCUAGGUCCCUGAUUGCCAGCCGUAAAUCACAGUUAAUUGGUUCUGUCUGAAAUAAUGAUUUGGAUCCUGUAUGACUAACAGAAAGGUAUGGAACACCUCAAACCCUCCAGUCUACAGAAGGCCCUCCCCGUGUGCAAUCUCUCACAAAGUCCUUGUUACUCUUCACUGCAGUCUUUACUCUUUGAAGUUUGCGUCUUUGUCAUUUUCAUUGUCUGUCUCACUUAACUCACAUGCAACUUACCUUCUGGAAGGUGAGGACGAACAGCACACUAGUGGUACUGAAAGUCCCUCUGAGAGGUUUGAAGGGCCUCCUUCAGCUCUCAGGUUAUAUUCAAGGUGCAUGGAUUAUCACUGAAUAUUAGGUGGAGAGGAAUGUUUUACCUUAAAACCAAACAAAUGGAAUAACCAUCUGUUGUACUGAUGGGAAUGAUUGAGAAAGUUUACCAGGGAAAGUUAUAUUAUACCAGAGUCAUGCUGAGUUGAUUGUAGUAUCUUACAGUUUUACACCAUAUACUUUAUAUAACUGUUUCAUAC